AACGCACGAGACCUGCGGACCUGCGGAGGGAUCAUCAUUGAAAUCCAUAUUUGGAACACCCUGUGAACUGUGUAAGUAGGGGCAGUAGUGGGGAAGGGGUAGUGACAGUGUGUGGGAGUAGUGCGCAUGUAUUGUUGUACGUGCCACUAUGUCCGCUGCUGCACUUACUACUACUUGCUGCUGCUGCUGCUUACGUAUUGUGCGUUACGCUGCGCUGCUGGAGCAUAUAUAUGUGGCGGG
rnacentral:misc_RNA from 1 species